UAAUACGAGGGGGGCAAGCGUUAUCCGGAUUUAUUGGGCGUAAAGGGCUCGUAGGCGGAUUUAUCAGUCGAGAUUGAAAUACAAUGGCUUAACCAUUGGAACGGUUUCGAUACUGUAAAUCUUGAAUUAUGUAGAGGUAAGCGGAAUUCCUGGUGUAGCGGUGAAAUGCGUAGAUAUCAGGAAGAACACCAAAGGCGAAGGCAGCUUGCUGGGCAUAUAUUGACGCUGAGGAGCGAAAGCGUGGGUAGCAAACAGGAUUAGAGACCCUGGUAGUCCACGCCGUAAACGAUGAGUACUUAGUGGUGGGGGAUUCGACCCCUUCACUACUGGAGUUAACGCGUUAAGUACUCCGCCUGGGAACUACGGCCGCAAGGCUG
rnacentral:rRNA from 1 species